UACGGGGGGGGGCAAGCGUUGUUCGGAAUUACUGGGCGUAAAGGGCUCGUAGGUGGCCAACUAAGUCGGACGUGAAAUCCCUCGGCUUAACCGGGGAACUGCAUCCGAUACUGGAUGGCUUGAGUUCGGGAGAGGGAUGCGGAAUUCCAGGUGUAGCGGUGAAAUGCGCAGAUAUCAGGAAGAACACCCGUGGCGAAGGCGGCUCGCUGGGACGGUACUGACGCUGAGGCGCGAAAGCGUGGGGAGCAAACAGG
rnacentral:rRNA from 1 species